rnacentral:misc_RNA from 1 species
GUUUUAUGUUUUCUCCUCAGCAUCAUAACUCAUUCCCCACCCUCAGAGGUGGGGGGGGAGGGGGGAAUAUAUACCCCUGCAUCUGGAAGAUAUUUAUAAAUUAGUUGAUCAUCCUAUUUCUUUUAUUUCUGUCGUGCCCUCACAAAUUGUUUUUUUGUCUAGAAAAUUGUUUUCUCCGUCACCAAAUCUUUAUUAUAUUGCAGAAGAAUGCCAGCCAGUCAAAUCUAGGUUUUGAACAUUAAUCAAAGUUUAAAAAGAGUGAAAAAGAUGGAUAUAAUAACCACCACUAUUAUUACUGCACAGAAUCAGGAGGGUAAAAUGUCGGCACAGGGCUUUAUUGCAAGCGAGGAAACUAGAGGAAGAUACUCAGAAUGCAUUUCUCGAUGUUUGCUUAAAUCUCUUGGCAUAGGAUCAAUCACCUUUUCCUCAUUGUAUUUUGGACAAAAAUAUUUUACAAAAAAUAUGAAAGGAAUGAAGCGAUCCACCAUCGUUUUGUCCUCUGUUGUAUUCACAGGGUUUGCAGCGUAUUUGACUGGAAAGGCAGCAGUCGAUGAGUGUAAUAGAGCAUUCGUAAAAUCCACCAAACAUAUUCAAAAAUCAAAUUAAAUGUCUAUUUGAUAAAAUACAGUCUGUUAAAUUCCAAUUGACAAGAGAACUUAAAAGAUUUUAUACAUUCAGAAGUGUUAAGAAAUUCAAAUGUUAUUGCCCAGAAUUACAAACACAUAUAUCUUCAAGGCACUAGGUCUUGAGCUAGAAUAUUCCAGA